GUAACACGUAUCCAACCUGCCUCAUACUCGGGGAUAGCCUUUCGAGAGAAAGAUUUAAUACCCGAUAGCAUAAUCACUCCCGCAUGGUUUCAUUCUUAAAGGAUCUUCGGUGAUAGAUGGGGAUGCGUUCCAUUAGGCAGUUGGUGAGGUAACGGCUCACCAAGCCUUCGAUGGAUAGGGGUUCUGAGAGGAAGGUCCCCCACAUUGGAACUGAGACACGGUCCAAACUCCUACGGGAGGCAGCAGUGAGGAAUAUUGGUCAAUGGGCGUAAGCCUGAACCAGCCAAGUAGCGUGAAGGAUGAAGGCUCUAUGGGUCGUAAACUUCUUUUAUAUGGGAAUAAAGUGCAGCACGUGUACUGUUUUGUAUGUACCAUAUGAAUAAGGAUCGGCUAACUCCGUGCCAGCAGCCGCGGUAAUACGGAGGAUCCGAGCGUUAUCCGGAUUUAUUGGGUUUAAAGGGAGCGUAGGUGGCCUGUUAAGUCAGUUGUGAAAGUUUGCGGCUCAACCGUAAAAUUGCAGUUGAUACUGUCAGUCUUGAGUACAGUAGAGGUGGGCGGAAUUCGUGGUGUAGCGGUGAAAUGCUUAGAUAUCACGAAGAACUCCGAUUGCGAAGGCAGCUCACCGGACUGCAACUGACACUGAUGCUCGAAAGUGUGGGUAUCAAACAGGAUUAGAUACCCUGGUAGUCCACACAGUAAACGAUGAAUACUCGCUGUUUGCGAUAUACAGUAAGCGGCCAAGCGAAAGCAUUAAGUAUUCCACCUGGGGAGUACGCCGGCAACGGUGAAACUCAAAGGAAUUGACGGGGGCCCGCACAAGCGGAGGAACAUGUGGUUUAAUUCGAUGAUACGCGAGGAACCUUACCCGGGCUUAAAUUGCAUUGGAAUGAUGUGGAAACAUGUCAGUGAGCAAUCACCGCUGUGAAGGUGCUGCAUGGUUGUCGUCAGCUCGUGCCGUGAGGUGUCGGCUUAAGUGCCAUAACGAGCGCAACCCUUAUCUUCAGUUACUAACAGGUCAUGCUGAAGACUCUGGAGAGACUGCCGUCGUAAGAUGUGAGGAAGGUGGGGAUGACGUCAAAUCAGCACGGCCCUUACGUCCGGGGCUACACACGUGUUACAAUGGGGGGUACAGAAGGCAGCUACCGGGUGACCGUAUGCUAAUCCCAAAAGCCUCUCUCAGUUCGGAUCGAAGUCUGCAACCCGACUUCGUGAAGCUGGAUUCGCUAGUAAUCGCGCAU
rnacentral:rRNA from 1 species